CUGCUGCCUUCCGUAGGAGUUUGGACCGUGUCUCAGUUCCAGUGUGGGGGACCUUCCUCUCAGAACCCCUACGCAUCGUCGCCACGGUGGGCCGUUACCCCGCCGUCUAGCUAAUGCGCCGCAUGCCCAUCCUCUUCCGAUGAAUCUUUCCUCGAUCUCGGAUGCCCGAAACCGAUAUACGCGGGAUUAGCCUCCCUUCGGAAGGUUGUCCCCCUGAAGAGGGCAGGUUGCAUACGUGUUACUCACCCGUGCGCCGGUCGCCGGACG
rnacentral:rRNA from 1 species